rnacentral:rRNA from 1 species
AGAGUUUGAUCCUGGCUCAGGACGAACGCUGGCGGCGUGCUUAACACAUGCAAGUCGAACGGAUCAUCAGGAUUUCGGUUUUGGUGGUGAGUGGCGAACGGGUGAGUAACACGUGAGUAACCUGCCCCGGACUCUGGGAUAACGACUCGAAAGGGUUGCUAAUACCGGAUAUUGAAUCUCUGUCGUGUGGUGGGGGUUUGAAAGUUUUUUCGGUUCGGGAUGGGCUCGCGGCCUAUCAGCUUGAUGGUGGGGUGAUGGCCUACCAUGGCUUCGACGGGUAGCCGGCCUGAGAGGGCGACCGGCCACACUGGGACUGAGAUACGGCCCAGACUCCUACGGGAGGCAGCAGUGGGGAAUAUUGCACAAUGGGCGAAAGCCUGAUGCAGCAACGCCGCGUGCGGGAUGACGGCCUUCGGGUUGUAAACCGCUUUCAGCAGGGACGAAAAUGACGGUACCUGCAGAAGAAGCACCGGCUAACUACGUGCCAGCAGCCGCGGUGAUACGUAGGGUGCGAGCGUUGUCCGGAUUUAUUGGGCGUAAAGAGCUCGUAGGCGGUUUGUUGCGUCGGAAGUGAAAACCCAGGGCUUAACUUUGGGCUUGCUUUCGAUACGGGCAGACUUGAGGAAGGUAGGGGAGAACGGAAUUCCUGGUGGAGCGGUGGAAUGCGCAGAUAUCAGGAGGAACACCGGUGGCGAAGGCGGUUCUCUGGACCUUUCCUGACGCUGAGGAGCGAAAGCGUGGGGAGCAAACAGGCUUAGAUACCCUGGUAGUCCACGCCGUAAACGGUGGGCACUAGGUGUGGGACCCAUUCCACGGGUUCCGUGCCGUAGCUAACGCAUUAAGUGCCCCGCCUGGGGAGUACGGCCGCAAGGCUAAAACUCAAAGGAAUUGACGGGGGCCCGCACAAGCGGCGGAGCAUGCGGAUUAAUUCGAUGCAACGCGAAGAACCUUACCUGGGUUUGACAU